CUGAGUACUAGACUAAAGAUAAAAAGACUAGAUAAAAGUACUAGACUAAAGACAGAGCUGACCCAUGACAUAGUUUACGCACUGAGAGCAUCUAAAGAAUUUGAAUGAGGAGCAAAGCUUUUUCAAAGGUUGGAUUAAACUACAAUUGUCCUCUCCAAAGAAUGUUCAGCUAUCCUUUAUGUACUCUGUUGCAAGUAUUUCAAGAAGGAGGCAAAGAGUUCUAAGAUGCAUUUCACAGCACUCCACAGAAGGAAG
rnacentral:lncRNA from 10 species